UUUCAAAACUUCAAAACCAAAACAAACAUUUUGCUCAUAACUAGAUUAUAAGUUUAUUUAUUUAAAUACGAGAAUCGAGAUUUCAAAGCUCCAAAUGGCUUUAAGCGGUCAAGUGGACUUUAAAAAAAGUUAUACUCAUAGCCAACGGCAUUCUACUUGUCCUGUGUUUUAGUUUGGUUCCAAAACUAUCGAAAUAUCUCGCAACGCACUGCCUUCGUUGAGUCAGCUGGAAGAGCUAGUAAGCUUUUUGGAAAGCAAACCAUGUUUGAUUAUGAUGGGCCAUGCUCGUACUGCGAAUGCGAGCGUGCAUGCAUGAUCCGUAAACAACAGCCCUAAACAGUGAAGUAGUGGGUGUAUGAAAAUAUUGGAGCAGUGGUGUAAGUACUGGAAGGACAAAAAGGAGCAGUUCAGAGGAAGUCCAGUUCUAUUGCAGCUGCGAGCCAACAUGAAGAAUUUGCCAGAACUCGGUGUAAUCAAGUUAAAAAUACAUUCUAUUAUGCAAGGAAAAUGUUUUGGAAUCUGAAUUUAGAAAUAAAUGCAUGUUCAUUAUAAAAUACAAAAUAAUAAAAAGACAUGAUGAAUUAAAA